UCACCAAUGCUGAAAAAGGAGGAAGGAAUUUGUGACAUUGCAACGACAAAAGGUGCUGAAAUCAACGACUUCCUGUCACUCAGAAAUGUUCAGUCUCUUACUAGUUUGCUUGUCCUGAGUAAAGGUUGGAUGUUUCUUAGUCACAGCAUCAUUGGGUCAGACGUUUGGUGGACUUCCUUCUUUCUUUAAGACGCCUGGUGGGUCGUUUAGUUCCGCUUUCGGCUCUGAUUGCUGCAGAGAGAUGGAAGCCGUAGUUGGACUGUUGUUGCUCCUUCAAGGAGUCGCUCAGGGUAUAGAAUCUUUUUGUGAUUCAAGACAGGAUAAAGCUCAGUGUUAUGGAGCUGAUGGUGGAACUGUGUUCAUACAGCUGAUGAACGACGCCUCACAGACAGACGUAUAUGAAUGGAAGAAGGAUAACUUCAUAAUUCUCAAAGGGAAAAAGAAUAAAAUAACUGCUAAUAUAUUAGAGAACAGAUCCUCAUUUUUUUUCAAUAAUGGAACAUUUAUGAUUAAAAACCUGAGUAAAAAUGACAGUGGUGAAUAUAGACUCACACUGUUUGACUCAAAAGGACAGAAGACAGAAACUCGGACCACAUGGUUAACUGUUAACGAGAAGAAUCCUCUGUCCAUCCUGGCGGUUUUCUUGUCACUUGUGGUAAUCUUCUUAAUCGCUGUAACGGUUGUCUUCUGUGUCUUGAAAAGAAAACAAAAAAAAGUCACAGAUGAUCAGCACAUAAUCUAUGCUGACGUUCAGAUGAAGCAGCAGAAGCAGAAGAGGCGGGUCUCUGAAAAGUCAGAUGUGGACGUGGAGUACAGUCAAGUAAAGUUUGCAGAACGACCUCGUCAGACUGAGCUCACAAAUCAUGAAGCGUAAGCAGAUCGUGGUUUCAUUUGGAGCUAAUAUAUAGUUAAUUGAGGUUUAAUGGAGAUUCAAGUUGAGUGAAAACAGAGACUAAAAGAGGCUCUUUGAGCUCCCCUGAUUAUCUUUUCCCUUUUCUCUACAAUAAUGUGGGCUGCACUGUGAAAACAUGAGAAUGUGAACAGUUUUUGGGUUCUUUUGUCUUCACACAAAAAGUGUGUGUCAUUAAAAGACUAUAAAAUUUGUUCUUUAUCAUUUCUCUGUGACAAAAAGCAUUCUGAAAUGCUGAAAAUUUCAAACUGAAUCUUAACUAUAUGGCUUUAAUUUCCCUAUCCCUAAAUUCAUCCGUCCAAGAGGAGAGAUAUGGGAAAAUUAGUGGUUGUCUCCAAAUUCCUCCUCACUACAUAUUGCACUAUAAAGUGUUUUCACCUAUUUUUUUAGUCGUCCAAAUUUACAUUCCUGAAAUUGUGUGCCUUAGAAAUUUCCCAGAAGGCUCUGCAAAAAAAAAGAAAGAAAAACACUAGAUUAGUAGAUGUAGACCACAAUGCAUUAAGUUUGAACAAAAAAUAUAUAUAUAUAUAUUUAUAUAUUUAUAUGAAUAUCCAAGUUUUCCUCAUCAUAACACAAUCGAAUUACAAAUAGUCUUUAUAAAUGCUUGUAUUUAUUCUGUUUUUAUUUUGUGUGAUGUCAUCUUUGCUGUUAAAAAAACAAAAGUAGUGAGCACGGUGUCCGAAUUUCUUUUAAAAUCCAGUUGCUCCUACACUAUAUAGUUUUUUAGUAUUUAGGGAGAGUGGGGAAGAAAUUCUGCCCAAUGUCUUCAAAUUCGGACGAUACUACUACUUGAUGAUGUCAUCAAUGGUCGCCAGUCAUUUAUGUUAGCACUAGCUGCCAAUGCUCUGAAAAUACUUAACAACUUUAAAAAGGCAUGCAAAACUCAUUGAAGUGUUACAUUUUUUAAUAAAAUACUUACAUUUAAAUGUGCUUCCAAACACCCACGUGUAAACCAAUACAUCUCUCCUGGAUCCCCCUACCAGCAGAGGGAUAACCAGAGGGAUAACCAGCCCUAAAUCGGAAAGGACUUUCGGACACAACCCCAGCUUCAAAUGCCCCUACAGUUGGAGGAACAGGAAGGAGCUGUAGGCGUAGGGAAGAAAUGUGGAUUCAGCAAACUUAGUUUGUUCGUCACUGAGAAGCUAAAAAAAACAUCAGCAAAAGUGCAAACAAGCAAAUUCAUAUCCGGUAAUUUCAGAUUACAACCAGUACCAUAUGGAUUCUGUAGUUUGAUGUACUUUUGAUUAAGGAAGUAGAUAGAACACACACUACACUGGUGUGAAACUAGAGAAACGCACAGCUGUUUUCUAAACUCUAUGUCUAUUUUGCUUGUUCAGUUUUUUGCAGCUGGAGGCUCAGCAUGUUCUAAUUGUGUUGUGCACAAAGUACCUGAGCUAUGAAUUAGUAUGUUGAUUGAGCAACAUAUUUAUCAUGUCAAAAACCUGUCAGAAGCAUUUUGUUUGUAUUAUCUGCUGAUGAUUCAGUCUUGUGAUGCAUGUAAGAGAAUAAAAUUGGGCUAACAUCGCCCUUUAGAAAUUUCUCUUGUGAUCUUUGCUGAUGCUCAAUUUAAAAUGUCUCAAACAAACAUUUGUAAUAAAAAUUCUGGUGAUUGCGGUGUUAAAAGUGUCAGAGGAUUCAAUGAAAGACAGUUUGAAGUGGAAAGAAAAACUGCUUUUGUUGACGGUGCUGAUAAGUUUUUCAGAACCAGCGACACGUUAUCUUAAUUGGCUUUUAGACUCAGAAAGGAAGCGGUUCGUCUUUUUUUUUAUUUUUAGUCACGUCUUAACUUACUGUGCUGCACAUGUUAAGAAAAUGUGUUCACAAACACUAAAAGAUCCGUGCUCUGUACACUGACAUAAAAAUCAUGUGUAAAAGUGGAGUUUUUCUGGUUUUAAUACUAGAGGAAAUAAAACAUAAAGAAUCCUGACUUGUUUGGAGCAAAAACUUGAUUGUGUUUUUCAUCUCGACUUUAAAGCAAAAAAAA